AGAGUUUGAUCCUGGCUCAGAUUGAACGCUGGCGGCGUGCCUAACACAUGCAAGUCGAGCGGUAACAGGUGUAGCAAUACAUGCUGACGAGCGGCGAACGGGUGAGUAAUGUUUCGGAAUCUGCCCAACGGUGGGGAAUAACCAGCCGAAAGGUUGGCUAAUACCGCAUACGUCCUACGGGAGAAAGCGGGGGAUCGUAAGACCUCGCGCCGAUGGAUGAGCCGAAACCGGAUUAGCUAGUUGGUAGGGUAACGGCCUACCAAGGCGACGAUCCGUAGCUGGUCUGAGAGGACGACCAGCCACACUGGGACUGAGACACGGCCCAGACUCCUACGGGAGGCAGCAGUGGGGAAUAUUGGACAAUGGGGGAAACCCUGAUCCAGCGACGCCGCGUGUGUGAAGAAGGCCUGCGGGUUGUAAAGCACUUUUAGUGGGGAUGAAAAGCACAGGGCUAAUAUCUCUGUGUCUUGACCUAACCCAAAGAAAAAGCACCGGCUAACUCUGUGCCAGCAGCCGCGGUAAUACAGAGGGUGCGAGCGUUAAUCGGAAUUACUGGGCGUAAAGCGUGCGUAGACGGUUAUGUAAGUCGGGUGUGAAAGCCCCGGGCUCAACCUGGGAAUUGCAUUCGAGACUGCAUAGCUAGGGUGCGGAAGAGGGAAGCGGAAUUUCCGGUGUAGCGGUGAAAUGCGUAGAUAUCGGAAGGAACACCAGUGGCGAAAGCGGCUUCCUGGUCCAGCACCGACGUUCAGGCACGAAAGCGUGGGGAGCAAACAGAUUAGAUACCCUGGUAGUCCACGCCAUAAACGAUGAGAACUAGACGUUGAGAGGGUAAGCCUCGCAGUGUCGUAGCUAACGCGCUAAGUUCUCCGCCUGGGGGAGUACGGCCGCAAGGUUGUAACUCAAAAGAA
rnacentral:rRNA from 1 species